rnacentral:rRNA from 1 species
CUCCAGACUCCUACGGGAGGCAGCAGUGGGGAAUAUUGCACAAUGGGGGGAACCCUGAUGCAGCAAUGCCGCGUGAAGGAUGAAGGUUUUCGGAUUGUAAACUUCUUUUGUACGGGACGAAGAAAGUGACGGUACCGUAAGAAUAAGCCACGGCUAACUACGUGCCAGCAGCCGCGGUAAUACGUAGGGGGCAAGCGUUAUCCGGAUUUACUGGGUGUAAAGGGGGCGCAGACGGCGAUGCAAGCCAGGAGUGAAAGCCCGGGGCCCAACCCCGGGACUGCUCUUGGAACUGCGUGGCUGGAGUGCAGGAGGGGCAGGCGGAAUUCCUGGUGUAGCGGUGAAAUGCGUAGAUAUCAGGAGGAACACCAGUGGCGAAGGCGGCUUACUGGACGGCAACUGACGCUGAGGCUCGAAAGCGUGGGGAGCAAACAGGAUUAGAUACCCCUGUAC